AUGUUUAUCCACCGUUCUUCGGAUCUGCCUUCAAACCUCCUGACAAGCUGCCCGGCACAUCAGCUGUUUGAGGGAGCCUGGCUGGAAGAGGCCGCUGCGAGGACCGCUGCCGUCCGCUCCCGCUGCGCAGAUCUCUUGGUGCCUCUGCCCGACCCGCGCCAGCCCCGGGAACAGCCCGUUUCCUCCCGUCCUGGAGCUCCCUGGAUCUGGCCCGUGGUCUCUUUCCCCCGUCUUUCCUCAGGUAUCGUUCUGCAGCCGUGUUUCGGUCACGGGGCUGGCGGAGGUCAUGGUGCUGGUCCCCGACCUUCUGCUGACAAGGAUCCCGCUUCAGGAUACCUUCACCCUUCCGUGCUAGAAAGUGCUGGCACUUCUCCACGCAGCCAUUCCUGCUGGCACGGCACCAGCUGGAGCACCGGGAGACAACAACGGAGGCUUCCUCCGUGCGCUCCCCAGCUGCUGCCCGGGUCCCUCUCGUGGGCGGGGAAGCCGCCUGCCUGCCGUCGGUGUCGGGACCGGCAGCACGGCGUGCCGAGCUCACUGCCACUGGCUGCGGGUGCGCCCCGGCUUCCCGAAACUCCCCGCCUUGGGGUUGGAGCCAGCUGUCCGCGUGUGCGUGUAGGGCCCCGCAGCACCCAUCAGACUUCUGUUCCCUGUGCUGCUACCCCAGCACCUACCCCGGUGCCCUGUGCUUCGGUGGCUCCUCAGGCUCUGCUCCGUGCAAGUGGCCUCCAAUGUCCGCCGGAGCGAGUCAGGGGUUUGCUUCCACGGCCCUUGAAAGCCCGUGCUGUGCUGGGCCCCUUUCUGUGCAAACUCCUCGAAAUCACAUCGGGUAAUUGCCCUGGCAGUAAGACAGGGUCACGGGCUGCAGGUACCAGCUUCCAGGAAAGCCGAGCGCCCUCCUGCCUGCCUGGAGAUCGAUGCCAGAGCCCAGGCGCGAUCCGAUCGGCUCCCGCAGGAACUGAGCGCAAGGCGGGCGUCCCGCGGCCACCCCACGUGUGCCUUGCUCCUGGCCUCUGGCCCCCCACCCAUGGGAGCAACCCCACUGGGGCCAGGGCUGUGCAGGGACAGGACGGGGCCCCGGCAGUGCUGGAGGCGUUACGUGGCAGAGCACAGCCUCAGCACUCGGUCCCUUUCUGCAGCAGGAACAGAUGCUUUCUGCUACAGUUUGAGUUUUUUUCCAUCUUAUUCAUUUUAGGGAUUAAUUGGAGUGUUUCUUCUCCCUCCCUCCUUCUCCCCCGUUACAUACAGCUGCACAUGGAUUUUAGGGUCAUGCUUGUUUACACCAGUUAUAUUUGCAUUAAUGGGUGUUUGUUUUUGGAAGAGCAGCAGAAAUCCCAUAAAAACAAAUGUUCCUUGCAUCCCACAACUGCCAUCGCUGCCCAGGGCGGCGGAGGCUCCGGGCUGGGUGCCCCAGGACAGCCCCAUGCGCCAGCAGAGGACACUGCCAUGGGCACGAGUGGCUCUGCUGUGGGUACAGGCGGCUUCCAGGCGCUGCGGUACCGACCGUGA
rnacentral:lncRNA from 1 species